UGGUAAGAAAAGGAUUAGCCUUUAUAACCGAGGCUACAACUCGGCACCUGCUUCGGCCACCUUACC
rnacentral:tRNA from 2 species